UCUGUGUUUGCAGCUGUCUGAUAUUUCUCCCCUUGGCCGGGACCCGUCCGUGUCCAGUUUCAGCAGUGCCACCCUCACCCCUUCCUCCACCUGCCCCUCUCUGGUGGAUUCCAGGUGCAAUUCCGUUGAUCAGAAGACACCAGAAGCAAAUUCUCGUGCCUCCAGUCCCUGUCAUGAGGUGGAACAGUUCCAGAUAAUUCCUGCAGUAGAAACUUCCUAUCUUGCCAGAGCUGGAAAGAAUGAGUUCCUAAAUCUCGUUCCUGAUAUUGAGGAAAUCAGACCAGGCUCUGUUGUGUCCAAGAAAGGAUACCUCCACUUCAAGGAGCCGCUCUCCAGCUCCUGGGCCAAGCACUUUGUGGUGGUUCGCCGUCCCUACGUUUUCAUUUACAACAGUGACAAAGAUCCUGUGGAAAGAGGACUCAUAAACUUAUCCACAGCUCAGGUGGAGUACAGUGAGGAUCAGCAGGCGAUGGUCAAGACACCCAACACCUU